AACGAACGCUGGCGGCAGGCUUAACACAUGCAAGUCGAGCGCCCCGCAGGGGGAGCGGCAGACGGGUGAGUAACGCGUGGGAAUCUACCCAUCUCUACGGAAUAACGCAUGGAAACGUGUGCUAAUACCGUAUACGUCCUUCGGGAGAAAGAUUUAUCGGAGAUGGAUGAGCCCGCGUUGGAUUAGCUAGUUGGGGGGGUAAAGGCCUACCAAGGCGACGAUCCAUAGCUGGUCUGAGAGGAUGAUCAGCCACACUGGGACUGAGACACGGCCCAGACGCCUACGGGAGGCAGCAGUGGGGAAUAUUGGACAAUGGGCGCAAGCCUGAUCCAGCCAUGCCGCGUGAGUGAUGAAGGCCCCAGGGUUGUAAAGCUCUCUCACCGGUGAAGAUAAUGACGGUAACCGGAGAAGAAGCCCCGGCUAACUUCGUGCCAGCCGCCGCCGUAAUAC
rnacentral:rRNA from 1 species